CUAAAAUUCAAUGUAUUGAGGUGUAAUUUACAUGUAAUAAAAUUCACCAUUUGGAGUAUGUAGGUCAGGUUUGAGAAACGCAUACGCCCCUUUAAACACCACCCCACUUGAAAGUCCCCUGUUUCCCUUCCCAGUUCAUGCCUCCCCGUCUACCAGGCACUGAUCUGUUCUCCUUUCUCUCCCCUGCUCUAGAACUUCACAUAAUGGAAUUAUAUAGGAUGGUGUCUUUGGCAACUGGCUUCUUUCACUCAGCACGGUGUUUUAAAUUUAUCCAUGUGGACACAUUUCUCAGUAGUCCAUCCUGUUUUCAUUGCCCAGUGGAAUUAGGGUUUGGCAAUACCACAAUCCAUAUAUUCUCCAAUUAACCAGCAGUUAGGAGGUUUCCACCAAUACCCUGAGGGUUUCUGUACUGGUUUUUGUGUUGAUAUGUGUUCUCUUUUCUCUUGGGUAAACAUCCGGGAGUGCAAUUGGCUCAUCGCAGUUUAAGUGCUUAAUAAAAGAUGAGAAACUUUCAAAUGGAAUUCCAGUGUUCAUGGAAAAUAUAAAGGAAAACUUUCAACUGGAACAAAACAGAAGGAAAUUUUUCUGAAAUUGAAUGUAAGUACCAAUGUUUUCCUGGUAAAAGUAUAUUCAGAAUUGAAUUGCUGGUCACAUUUUCACAAGAUCUUCAUAUGCCUGAAUUCCAUAUCAGCUGACAAUUUUGUUUAAAUACCAAGGUCUGUUUUCUAUAACCAAGAAGUCUUAACCAAUAAUCUUAAAACAUCCUAAUAAAUCUAUUUAAGGAAUCAUUUGAUUAAUUUAAACUAAAGAAAUCAGAGUUAUUAUAAAUCAAGCACAUUUGUUCAUAACCUUAGCUUCUCUUAAAGACCAAGGAGGUAUUCAGAAGUGUAUCUUGUUCUUUUCAGUGCCCAUAAACAAUACCCCAAAUUUUAAAUGGCACAGUGUCUAAAUAUUUGUUUAAAAUUUAAUUGCAUGACAUGUGGUUUCUAACUCUUGCCUCACAAAAGAUAUAGCACAAUGACUAUGCAAUGAACAUAUGAAUAAAAAAUAUAUAUUCCAGAUAUACUGCCCUACAGUUCAUUAGUUUCACUGUGUGUACAUCAACAGUACACACUUUCCAAUAUGUUUCUUUUGGUUUUCAUUUAUUAUAAACUUGGUUUGUUUUGUAUUUCUCAUGAAUGUUGUCUAACAUCUUUAUUUCUCUGCAUUUUCUGUCAUAUUUCAUGAGGAUUUUGAUGCAACAAAAAGUGUAAGAAUGGAAGGGGAAAAACAGAGGCUGACAUGGGUCCCUUGUGAAUUGGAAUAGCUUUAUCUUGGAGAAAAUAAGAUGGAAUAAUCACAAGCAAAUUGCCAGCAGUAGCUUUUCCACACAACCUCUGAGAAGACUGAGAAAACAUACUUAUAUCAUGGAAUCAUAACCACUGGUAAACCUUUUUUGCUAAGUUAUGUAUACAACACAAGAUAUUAUGAUACCAGAGGCUAUCAAUGUGGAGGAGAAGAGCUUCAUCACAAAGAUGACUGCAAAUUUUGGCAGAGAAAUGUAUGUUCAUGAAGAACUCAUUGAGAACUUCAUACUUCCCUAGGCAACAGGGGUUUCCAGAAGAAAACAGAUACCUUUCCUAAGAACUCCAAUUAAUUAGGUGAUUGGAAGCAGUGUCUUCAAAGCCUGUUAUAUUUUCUCAGUAGGUUACAUGUUACUCUUAUUGGAGCCAUGAAUAAAGAAAUUCAACAAGCAAAUAUUGGGAUGUAAUUCAGACAAAAAGAGAAAACCAUGGAAGCAAGAAGCUGAAAUCACCGCAAC